UACGUAGGGUGCAAGCGUUGUCCGGAAUUAUUGGGCGUAAAGAGCUCGUAGGCGGUUUGUCACGUCGGAUGUGAAAACCCGAGGCUUAACCUCGGGCCUGCAUUCGAUACGGGCUGACUAGAGUUCGGUAGGGGAGACUGGAAUUCCUGGUGUAGCGGUGAAAUGCGCAGAUAUCAGGAGGAACACCGGUGGCGAAGGCGGUUCUCUGGGCAUUACCUGACGCUGAGGAGCGAAAGUGUGGGGAGCGAACAGG
rnacentral:rRNA from 1 species